rnacentral:lncRNA from 1 species
UUAUCAGUGCUGGUGGCAUAUUUGCUUAUGCUAGAGAGGCUGGGAUGAUCCCAACUUUGUCUGAUUCAUGGGAAGAGAGGAUUAUUGGAUCUUGACUACGGAAGUCUUCAAGAAUGACACCUUUCCUACUAUUUUUUUUCUUGAACUGAUGUAGGCUACAUCAUUUAGUAACUUUAGUUUAUGUAAAUAUUGUAAUUGAUGAUAUGGAGAUUUCAGAAUUCAGACU